GGUCCCCCCUCUAAUUCAUAAUGGUUUAAAAGGUCUGGUCCCCCCUCUAAUUCAUAAUGGUUUAAAAGGUCUGGUCCCCCCUCUAAUUCAUAAUGGUUUAAAAGGUCUGGUCCCCCCUCUAAUUCAUAAUGGUUUAAAAGGUCUGGUCCCCCCUCUAAUUCAUAAUGGUUUAAAAGGUCUGGUCCCCCCUCUAAUUCAUAAUGGUUUAAAAGGUCUGGUCCCCCCUCUAAUUCAUAAUGGUUUAAAAGGUCUGGUCCCCCCUCUAAUUCAUAAUGGUUUAAAAGGUCUGGUCCCCCCUCCUAAUUCAUAAUGGUUUAAAAGGCUAAACUGAUCUCAGAUCAGUACUCUGACACUGUGGAUAAGGGCCCUGUGCUCCUUUCAGCUCCUGCGUGUCCAGUUUGUCAUUAGGCCAAUAUUUAAUACCGAUAUACUACCAUGGUGUAGCUAUGACGACUUCACUAUGCAAAGCAAUGAGUUUAUUACUUUUGUUUUUGUUACUGCUGGUCACUCUUCCUCAACUGCUCCCUCCAAAAAAUGUCUUGCUCUCUCCAUCACAGAAGAAUAAGCUUCUCAACAUAUCAAUGUAUGGCUGCUAAACUCAACUGCUCACAUAAUUGAUUUGUGAAACUGGAAACAACCUGUAGAACUUACUCUGGCUGUCAUAACGUGAAGACAUCCUGUACUAGUCUGUGCUCUGUUUGAAAUAGAACCGCUUUAAAACGACUGCAGUGUAAAUGCCUAUAAUACAUUAGGUCUACCUGAACACAUUUUAAACGUUCUGCAAAAGUCUAAUGAAAUAAAUGAAUGGAAAUCUGUUUGUUGCUUUUCACUUUAUUUUUUCAUGAUAAAGUUAGAAUAAAAACAUCUUAUCAGCCUGAUAAGUCUCUUCCACAAAGUGAG
rnacentral:lncRNA from 1 species